AAUAGUAACUAGGGGAGCCUAUAUAAUAGGCUGAGAUAGAAAUGUUAUUUCUGACCCUCAUAACCUGACGUGGUUAAUCCCACCGUAGGGAAGUGUGUUAUAGUAAGU
rnacentral:ncRNA from 2 species